AGCGGAUCGGAAGAACAUCGUGUUCGCGUAGGCGAGCGACGGGCAGACCACUGCCGCGAUGUCGGCCGAGUAUGAAGGCCGCAACUGCGCUUCAUUGGACAGAACCAGCGGUUCCAACCCUGGAUGCGUGUUUGAUGAGGACGGUGGCGCUGCGGUGGAGAGAUGAAGCGGCGGGAGUUUGGGAGGCCGAGAGGGCGGCGCCGACGGUGGUGGCUUUGAGGGGUUGAAGAGAGAGAAGAGAUUGGCUAAGGCUGAGGUCGCCAUGGCUGAAAUUUGGGGCUCCUAAUUUUGGAUAGGAAUUAAUAGAAUUUAAAAUACGAAAAAUAUUUAAGAACUAUUUGUGGUUGGGCUAUUCAUGUUGAAAUAGGAUUAUUUUGCCAGUGGCCCAAAUGAGCAUGGGAUCCACUAGUAGCCUUUAAAAUAUCAGCAAUCUUAGAAAUUGGGUUCGGGCUCUCGCUCCCUUUCUCCAACGGCUGAUUGUAUUCAUAGUCCCCGUUUUACUCUUUAUAGCCCCUAUUUAAAAUAAAAAUUAAAAAUAAUUAUAAAUAUAUUAUUUUGCCCUAUACUUCAUAGCUCCCUAUUUGAUUCACGUAACUAUUUUUUUGUACUCGAGACUUAGAAUAGGACAACAUAGCAAUCACUUUGCUAACCAAAGCUUUCUCUGGUUUCCUUUUACCAAACAUAUGUGAGCAGUGAAAACAUAUAAUUAUGGGUUAUUGUUUAAUUUUAACUUUGUAUCAGUGUUGAUUAAGACCAACGAGGGAAAGGGAAAUAGAAGAUGAUAUAUGAAGAUUUGAAGGUUGGGAAGAAGAUGACGAUGGAGAUGAUAUGAAGAAGAAGGUAUUAUAUGUAAAUAUGUGAAUGGGGGUUUCUUUGUCUAAUUGAAUUGCAAUAUGUUGCCAUAAAAGCUUCACUCAUGGGUAGAGUUUUAAAUCACAGGAAGAGAAAGAAAGUUGUAGAGUAUUUUGAGAGAUGUAGACGAAUGUGAAUAUCUUUUUCUUUGUUUAUUUUAGUAGAGGUAUUGUGGUUUCAUAUAUAAUAUUAUGUUUGUAUUGUUUGCGCAGAGAGGAGAGAUGAAGAAGAUGAUGGUAGGCGGUAGGCGCAGGACCGAUAUGUAUAUGUUAAAGAGUAGUGAGUUAGUGGGGGCUAGAAUGUAGGAUGUUGUUGCGCUCAAGCUAAGAGAACAUAUAUCCAAAUAUUUUUCUUUAGGGGCGUGCAUUGGUGCGGUUCGGUGCAAAAUCACAUCGAUUUUUUAAAUUAAAAAUUGAAUCGACCCCAAAUGGAAAAAUUGAAUUGCACCAGCUAGGGUCCACAAUUAAACCAACGAGACCGUCGAGUGUCGAUUUCGGUCUGUUGAACUGAACUGCACGAUAUUUUCAUUUUUUUUUUUUGAAUUUGUUGUUGUCUAACGGAGAACGCCGGAAGGGAAUGCCGACUGGUUGUUGCUGUCAAUGGGAGACGCUAGAAGGAGAAGGCCGAAUGCUAGUCUGUUGUCGCACGGGAAAAGCCAAAAANAUUAUAUAUAAAAUAAUAUAUAAUGUUAUAUAUUUUAUUCUAACUCUAAUCUAAUAUCUAUGACUAAUCUAUAUAUCUCUUUCUAUAAAUAAUAUAUAAUGCAUUAAGAUAAUAUUUACUUUAUUUAAUUUAAAUUUAGUUUCUAUUAUUAUUAUUAUUAUUAUUAUUAUUAUUAUUAUUAUUAUUAUUAUUAUUAUUAUUAUUAUAUUAUUAUUAUUAUUAUUAUUAUUAUCAUUAGUACUAUUAUUAUAGAGUAUUAAUCGUCAUAAUAAAUAAAUUAAUAUAUUCAUACACAAAUAUAAAUAAAAAGUUGUAAAAUAUAAGAACAAAUUAAUAAUGUUUCUAUUAUCAUUUAAGCUUGAUUUUAUAAUUAAAUUUUCACAUUAAAUUAUUAAUUUCAUGAAUUAAUUAAUUUUUAAGAAAAUAAUUGCAAAGAACUGGUAAGCAAAUAUGCAAAAAUCUCAAUCUACCCAGCAAUAAAUAAGACACCUUUAUUAUAAUGUGAAAUUAACUAAGAAAUCCCAUUAAAUUAAUUCACAAAUACUCCAUAUAGACAAGAUUAUAAUUUCCAAACUCACAAUAAGUUUUCAUUACGGUCUCAAAAAAAAAAAAGUUUUCAAUACAAACAUUUCCUUUUAUUUUUCAAUUUUAAAUCCAAACGCAAUCCAACGGUAGAGUUCAGACACCAGCUGCAUAUAAUUAAAGCAAGUGAUCAUAAUAUUAUUAUUAACAACUAGUUUACUGCAUACAUUUGUCAAUCAUUCAAUCUGGUAAAUCAUUUUACAGAAAUCCAGUUUCAUCCAUCUGAUCAAUGGUAAAAAUUAUUCGGAUGAAUACAGAACCCACCUCAUCCGAACCAGUGAAUUCAUAUAAAAUCUCCCAUUGCCAAAAUUCGCUCAAGAAACUGCGACUACAUUAGAAAGAAACCUCACAGACCUCGAAAAAUCACAUUUCACAGCAGCAAUUUGAAAGAGGCGAAAAAGACUAACAGAGCAGCAUUUAACCAGAAGAUAGUGGAGAAGUACAAGAUGUGGUCACUUGGGAAGGAUUCCUUCAGGAAUAUCCCAGUUAUCAUCAUCUUCUUCCUUCUUGCUCUUCGAAAUCUCUGGCUUAUCUUGUGUUGUGAAUCUUGCUUGAGGUCGUCUGUAGAUAUUCAUAAAAAGAAUAGGAUUGAGGAACACUGAUUAAAAAUUUCUGAAAAAUCAUCAUCUCUGUAAUGAAUUUAUCUUCACAUCCACAAAAUUUGAACAGUACAGUCAUCAAUCAUCAUGGAAGGUUUGUAAAACAGUUAUCAUGUAACAGAUGUAAGAUUACCGAAGACAAGCUCACUGUACCACAGAAUGCGCUGAUGAAUAAAAAACCACAUUAAUCUACUCAACUUAUGAAAAUCUUCAAGGAAUUCCAACAAAUAUGCAUCUAUAUUCUAUAGACAUGCCAAUUUGAGAUAAAGCUUAUCAAAGUUUAAACCCUCAAAACUCCAAACAUGCAAUCUCUAAAGACUCUACUUGUAAGAAUUAUGAAGUUCUAAGCUUUGAGCAACAGGAAAGCCAUUGACAAUACUAUGAUGUCUUUCUUGCAUGAGGUCAUCUAUUUAGAUUAUCAGUAAAAGAACUUGACCAAGGAAUGUGGUCGAAAGACUUUAUGAAAAUCUAUACUGAAUGAUCUUCAAACACACUGGAAACUUGAGCAUUGCUGUCAUCAUGCAUGAAAAACCUAGCAGGCUCACUUGUGGGCACAUAAUCGAGUACUGAACAUAAAACUACAUCAAUGUUAUCAAACUGAUGAAAAUGAAAACUGAGAACAUGCAUCUAAAGGCAUGCCAAUUUGAACAUAUUGAAGUUUAAGACUUCAAACUCCUAAUUUGGCAUCUCAAAAGACUCAGCUAAUAUGAUUCCAAGCUUUGAGUUGACAGGAGGCUGUUGACAAUUACCAACCUCUCGGUACAAGUGAACAACAAAUACAGCUAAUACUUAUAAUUUCUAAACCCAUUGUGCCUUACUGUGCACAAAUUAGCAAAGCCCCAGGGUGAUAUGUAAAUUGGACUACAUCAGACACAAUUCAACCAGCAAAAGGUUGGGUACUUGAACAAAGAUUCAUACCCUAUCUCAAGAAAUUUCUUGCUUGAAGCCACAAACUUGUAAGCAAAACCACAGAGAACCCAAUCUCCAAGGUAAGACACACUUAAUUUCCCCACAUAAUCGAAUAAUAUCAAUACAUUAUUUGGAUGAUCAGUAAAAAAUUUCUCUUAAAACCACGAAAUUCUCAGUGUCCAAAGAAGCAUGCACCUAAUCUCCCAUAUCAACACCUUAUUUGGAUAAUCAAUCAAAAUCUCUCUCUCUCAAACGCAUGACUUCCUAGCACCCAAUUUACUCAACUACAUACGUUAUACAUACAAACAUGGUGAAGAAAAACAGCAUAUACCACUUAAUUCUUACAUGCAUAUCUGAUCUCAAUUUUGUUUAAUGUUACUCGAGCAUCAACUACAAGUGCAUCUACGUAUUCACAAGUUAUCGAGUUAGCUAAUAAAAAUUCACUAAUGAAGUCAAUUAUCAUUGAUUUUCCUUCAAAUUCAAAAAUACUAAAUCGAUCCUCAUCCACCACUCACGAAUUCGAGCAACAUAAGAUAGUAAGAAACAGAGCAAAAUGCAGAGCGCCAAUAGUAAUCAUAGCGAGAGAUAGAGACCUGCGACGGUUGCGCUUCGCAGCCUCCCGCGUCUUCCGCUUCUUCUCGUCCUGCUUGUUCUCAAAAAACCGGCGGCGCUUGCAUUCCUGGAUGACUCCGGCGCGCAUCACUUCCCUCCUGAAGCGGCCGAGCAGCUUCUCCUCCGGUUCGUUGUCGUCCACGAUUACCUGAACAUUGUAAGCGGAUCGGAAGAACAUCGUGUUCGCGUAGGCGAGCGACGGGCAGACCACUGCCGCGAUGUCGGCCGAGUAUGAAGGCCGCAACUGCGCUUCAUUGGACAGAACCAGCGGUUCCAACCCUGGAUGCGUGUUUGAUGAGGACGGUGGCGCUGCGGUGGAGAGAUGAAGCGGCGGGAGUUUGGGAGGCCGAGAGGGCGGCGCCGACGGUGGUGGCUUUGAGGGGUUGAAGAGAGAGAAGAGAUUGGCUAAGGCUGAGGUCGCCAUGGCUGAAAUUUGGGGCUCCUAAUUUUGGAUAAGGAAUUAAUAGAAUUUUAAAAAUACGAAAAAAA
rnacentral:lncRNA from 1 species